UACGUAGGUGACAAGCGUUGUCCGGAUUUACUGGGCGUAAAGAGCGCGCAGGCGGUCGAUCAAGUCGAGUGUGAAAGCCCCCGGCUCAACUGGGGAGGGUCAUUCGAUACUGAUCGACUCGAAGGCAGGAGAGGGUAGUGGAAUUCCCGGUGUAGUGGUGAAAUGCGUAGAUAUCGGAGGAACACCAGUGGCGAAGGCGACUUCCUGGCCUGUUCUUGACGCUGAGGCGCGAAAGCUAGGGGAGCAAACGGG
rnacentral:rRNA from 1 species